rnacentral:sRNA from 1 species
GCCAGAUGUGGUGGUGCACACCUGCAAUUCCAGCAACUCAGGAGGCUGAGGCAGGAGGAUCGCCAGUUCAAGGCCAGCCUCAGUAACUUAGCAAGGCCCUAAGCAACUUAGAAAGACCCUGCCUCUA